rnacentral:rRNA from 1 species
UUAAGUGACUAAGCGUAUACGGUGGAUGCCUAGGCAGUUAGAGGCGAUGAAGGACGUGUAAGUCUGCGAUAAGCUGUGGAGAGCCGACAAAAUGCUUUGACCCACAGAUUUCCGAAUGGGGAAACCCACCGCUUCGGCGGUAUCAUUACGUGAAUACAUAGCGUAAUGAGGCGAACGAGGGGAACUGAAACAUCUAAGUACCCUUAGGAAAAGAAAUCAACAGAGAUUCCCCUAGUAGCGGCGAGCGAACGGGGAGCAGCCGAGUAGUAAUGAAGUAGUGGAAUGUGUUGGAAAGCACAGCGAUACAGGGUGAUAGCCCCGUACACGAAGCGUCAUUAUUGCCAUAUUAAGUAGGUCGGGACACGAGUUAUCUUGACUGAAGAUGGGGGGACCAUCCUCCAAGGCUAAAUACUCCUAACUGACCGAUAGUGAACCAGUACCGUGAGGGAAAGGCGAAAAGAACCCCUGUGAGGGGAGUGAAAUAGAACCUGAAACCGUAUACGUACAAGCAGUAGGAGCAGGCUCUCGCAAGAGAAUAGUCCUGUGACUGCGUACCUUUUGUAUAAUGGGUCAGCGACUUAUAUUUAGUAGCAAGGUUAACCGAAUAGGGGAGCCGUAGCGAAAGCGAGUGUUAACUGCGCGUUGAGUUGCUAGGUAUAGACCCGAAACCGAGUGAUCUAGCCAUGGGCAGGUUGAAGGUUGAGUAACAUCAACUGGAGGACCGAACCGACUAACGUUGAAAAGUUAGCGGAUGACUUGUGGCUGGGGGUGAAAGGCCAAUCAAACUCGGAGAUAGCUGGUUCUCCCCGAAAGCUAUUUAGGUAGCGCCUCGGACGAAUACCACAGGGGGUAGAGCACUGUUAAGGCUAGGGGGUCAUCCCGACUUACCAACCCUUUGCAAACUCCGAAUACCUGUGAGUACUAUCCGGGAGACACACGGCGGGUGCUAACGUCCGUCGUGAAGAGGGAAACAACCCAGACCGCCAGCUAAGGUCCCUAAAUAUUACUAAGUGGGAAACGAUGUGGAAAGGCAUAGACAGCUAGGAGGUUGGCUUAGAAGCAGCCACCCUUUAAAGAAAGCGUAAUAGCUCACUAGUCGAGUCGGUCUGCGCGGAAGAUGUAACGGGGCUAAGUAAUAUACCGAAGCUGCGGACGCAAAGUUUACUUUGCGUGGUAGGGGAGCGUUGUGUAAGUGGCUGAAGGUGAGCUGAGAGGCGAGCUGGACAUAUCACAAGUGCGAAUGCUGACAUGAGUAACGAUAAUGGGGGUGAAAAACCCCCACGCCGGAAGACCAAGGUUUCCUGUCCCAUGCUAAUCAGGGCAGGGUAAGUCGGCCCCUAAGGCGAGGCAGAAAUGCGUAGUCGAUGGGAAACGGAUUAAUAUUUCCGUACUUGGUAUAUCAGUGAAGGGGGGACGGAGAAGGUUAUGCUAGCUUGGCGUUGGUAGUCCAAGUGAAAGUGCGUAGGGUUGAAUUUUAGGAAAAUCCGGAAUUCUACAUGCCUGAGACACGAGACGAGACUCUACGGAGUUGAAGUAGCAAAUACCAUGCUUCCAGGAAAAGCCUCUAAACUUAUGAUAUAGCGAACCGUACCCCAAACCGACACAGGUGGUCAGGUAGAGAAUACUAAGGCGCUUGAGAGAACUCGGGUGAAGGAACUAGGCAAAAUGGUACCGUAACUUCGGGAGAAGGUACGCCUCUGUUUGUGAACACUUCGCGUGGUAAGCAAAUGGAGGCCGCAGUGACCAGGUGGCUGGGACUGUUUAUUAAAAACACAGCACUCUGCAAACUCGUAAGAGGACGUAUAGGGUGUGACACCUGCCCGGUGCCGGAAGGUUAAUUGAUGGGGUUAGUCCUCGGACGAAGCUCUUGAUCGAAGCCCCGGUAAACGGCGGCCGUAACUAUAACGGUCCUAAGGUAGCGAAAUUCCUUGUCGGGUAAGUUCCGACCUGCACGAAUGGUGUAACCA